rnacentral:rRNA from 1 species
AGCAGCCGCGGUAAUUCCAGCUCCAAUAGCGUAUAUUAAAGUUGUUGCAGUUAAAAAGCUCGUAGUUGAAUUUCGGGAUUGACAGGUUGGUCGCGCCUUCGGUGUGUACUGGUCUAGUCGGUUUCUCCCUUCUGACGAACCACGAUGUCAUUAAUUUGGUGUCGUGGGAAAUCAGGACUGUUACUUUGAAAAAAUUAGAGUGUUUAAAGCAGGCAUUAGCUUGAAUACAUUAGCAUGGAAUAAUGAAAUAGGACGUUUGAUCCUAUUUUGUUGGUUUCUAGGAUCGACGUAAUGAUUAAUAGGGAUAGUUGGGGGCAUUAGUAUUCAAUUGUCAGAGGUGAAAUUCUUGGAUUUAUUGAAGACUAACUACUGCGAAAGCAUUUGCCAAGGAUGUUUUCAUUAAUCAAGAACGAAAGUUAGGGGAUCGAAGACGAUCAGAUACCGUCGUAG